GAGGGCAUAGCUCAAGUGGUAGAGCACAUGCCUAGCAUGCACAAGGUCCUGGGUUCAAUCCCCAGUACUUCCU
rnacentral:tRNA from 1 species